rnacentral:rRNA from 1 species
GUGGGGAAUUUUGGACAAUGGGCGCAAGCCUGAUCCAGCAAUGCCGCGUGCAGGAAGAAGGCCUUCGGGUUGUAAACUGCUUUUGUACGGAACGAAACGGUCCGGGUUAAUACCCUGGGCUAAUGACGGUACCGUAAGAAUAAGCACCGGCUAACUACGUGCCAGCAGCCGCGGUAAUACGUAGGGUGCAAGCGUUAAUCGGAAUUACUGGGCGUAAAGCGUGCGCAGGCGGUUUUGUAAGACAGGCGUGAAAUCCCCGGGCUCAACCUGGGAAUUGCGCUUGUGACUGCAAGGCUGGAGUGCGGAAGAGGGGGAUGGAAUUCCGCGUGUAGCAGUGAAAUGCGUAGAUAUGCGGAGGAACACCGAUGGCGAAGGCAAUCCCCUGGGCCUGCACUGACGCUCAUGCACGAAAGCGUGGGGAGCAAACAGGAUUAGAUACCCGAGUAGUCC